GGGGGAGGGGGGGUGUCCCUUAGCCUGGAUUGCGAGACGGGGCAGGCCAGGCCACGGGACCCCACCAGUGCACA
rnacentral:pre_miRNA from 1 species